rnacentral:rRNA from 1 species
UACGUAGGGUGCAAGCGUUGUCCGGAAUUAUUGGGCGUAAAGAGCUCGUAGGCGGCUUGUCGCGUCGGCUGUGAAAACCUGGGGCUCAACCCUCGAAUGCCGGUGGAUACUGUCGGGCUAGAGUGCGGAAGAGGCGAGUGGAAUUCCUGGUGUAGCGGUGAAAUGCGCAGAUAUCAGGAGGAACACCGGUGGCGAAGGCGGGUCUCUGGGCCGAUACUGACGCUGAGGAGCGAAAGCGUGGGGAGCGAACAGG